rnacentral:rRNA from 1 species
AUCCAGAGACUUUCCAGAGAUGGAUUGGUGCCUUCGGGAACUCUGAGACAGGUGCUGCAUGGCUGUCGUCAGCUCGUGUUGUGAAAUGUUGGGUUAAGUCCCGCAACGAGCGCAACACUUAUCCUUUGUUGCCAGCGGUUCGGCCGGGAACUCAAAGGAGACUGCCAGUGAUAAACUGGAGGAAGGUGGGGAUGACGUCAAGUCAUCAUGGCCCUUACGAGUAGGGCUACACACGUGCUACAAUGGCGCAUACAAAGAGAAGCGACCUCGCGAGAGCAAGCGGACCUCAUAAAGUGCGUCGUAAUCCGGAUUGGAGUCGGCAACUCGACAACAUGAA